GUACGAUUGAGCAGAUAAUCAAGAUCAUGAGAUAUUCGAUCUAACAUUCCACUUGCGCUGUUCGUUUCACAAUUUAAUAAUUUAAGCUCGGCAAUUUUUUCCUCACCAUCGGGUUGCUUACGUUCCAUGGUGUUUGCAAUGUCAGCUAAAGUCACAUCGGGCAUUGAAUUUAUUCCUAUUGUUGUUGUUUCAACGUCGGCACUACAUAAAAUUGUCGUUGUCGUACAUUCAGAUGGUGUGACACUUUGCGAUGGUAGACAAACUUGAACAGGGACGGAGGAAGACUUUGGAUAAGCAAUAAUCUCGUUCAUAUAAUCCCUCAUGUCAAGACUACCGGCCGCUAUUCCACGUGAUUCACGAUAUUUUGUCUCAGUGAGUAGAUGCGUUGGCGCCAAAUCAUUUUCAACUUCGGGAUUCAUUUUCGAGCACACUGGAAAACAAUUAUUAUUAUUAUUAUUAUUAUUAUUACUUUUAUUAAUAUCAGGUCUUUCCACCUAAUUAUUUCUGAAGAGUAAUUAAACCUUAAGGGGAGGGCUUGUGAAAGUACCUUUAAUUUGAUCAGAGAUGCAUUCCUCUUCAAUGCCUCCUUUAUGCCUUGCUUUACAUUUGGAAAUCAAGCACUUGAGCUCAUUGCUUACGACAUACGUCAUGAAAAUAAUGAAUCCCUGCUCAGAGAAGGAUCAACAUUAAUUAAAAAAAAAAGUGGUGGCUAGGACGGACGUUUGUAAGCUCGGCGUAAAUGAUUAGCGCUUGAGAUAUUGGCGCUGUCAUAGCAACGAGGAGAAAAGUCUCCAGACUUAAUGCCACGAUAGACCAGGAACUCUAUAAAACCAUUGAAUUUGUUUAUUCUUGUAAGAAUUAAUGGUUCAUAGAGGCAAUUGGAAAAAUCAGGACUUUGCCACCUCGUUGAAGUUGCAUCUUUCAUUGAGCAAAGCCUCGAAGCAUGACGUCCAAUAAAAUGUCGAGGACAAUCAAGAAGUGCUUCUGUUCCAGGACCAGUUUCGGACCAUUCUAAGCCCCAGGAUUUUUCUUUUUGACAAAGAGGAAUCAAAGUUCGAUUCACAACUUCCACACGAACUGACAUUGACCUUAAGGCAACGUUACAGUGUCACACUCAUUGGAACAACUUUAACGUCCGAUUCAUCUUUGAUUUCAAUAUAAAUACUUUUACAUUGCUGCAUUCCCCAAUCGACAACUUGACACGUAUAUUUUCCACCGUCGAGAAGAGUUGCCUUGUCUAUUGUCAAUAAAGACGUAUGCAAAUCCGAUCCAUCAUUUGCGCCUUUAAAUAUUUUACUACACCUUAAGUCUGAGUGAUGGUUUCUGCUGAAAGGUAAAGUGUGUGGAUUCAAGAGUGAUUUCGUUUAACCGUCGACGUUGAACGAGACGAUUAAGUGCUUCUCGAAUUUUAUCCCCAUCAUGUGAGUUGCCGAAAAAAUGAAACGUCACUUCCGAUGAAGAAUAUCCGCUGUGGUACUUAAAAAUCACUCAGGAGACUCCAAGAAAUAUGGUUCAUCGGAUGUAACUAGAACGCAGGAUAAAUCUGUUGCAGUUGGACACAUCAUAUUUUUCAAUGUAUCCUUAGAGACACGAAUAACUUCAAUUCCAU